rnacentral:rRNA from 1 species
GAUGAACGCUGGCGGCGUGCCUAAUACAUGCAAGUCGAGCGAACAUACGAGGAGCUUGCUCCUCUGACGUUAGCGGCGGACGGGUGAGUAACACGUGGAUAACCUACCUAUAAGACUGGGAUAACUUCGGGAAACCGGAGCUAAUACCGGAUAAUAUAUUGAACCGCAUGGUUCAAUAGUGAAAGACGGUUUUGCUAUCACUUAUAGAUGUAUCCGCGCCGCAUUAGCUAGUUGGUAAGGUAACGGCUUACCAAGGCAACGAUGCGUAGCCGACCUGAGAGGGUGAUCGGCCACACUGGAACGGAGACACGGUCCAGACUCCUACGGGAGGCAGCAGUAGGGAAUCUUCCGCAAUGGGCGAAAGCCUGACGGAGCAACGCCGCGUGAGUGAUGAAGGUCUUCGGAUCGUAAAACUCUGUUAUUAGGGAAGAACAAAUGUGUAAGAAACUAUGCACGUCUUGACGGUACCUAAUCAGAAAGCCACGGCUAACUACGUG